UACGGAGGAUGCAAGCGUUAUCCGGAAUGAUUGGGCGUAAAGCGUCCGCAGGUGGCAAUGUAAGUCUGCUGUUAAAGAGUCUAGCUCAACUAGAUAAAAGCAGUGGAAACUAUAUAGCUAGAGUACGUUCGGGGCAGAGGGAAUUCCUGGUGUAGCGGUGAAAUGCGUAGAGAUCAGGAAGAACACCGGUGGCGAAGGCGCUCUGCUAGGCCGUAACUGACACUGAGGGACGAAAGCUAGGGGAGCGAAUGGG
rnacentral:rRNA from 1 species